CACAGAAAUGGAAUGACCGACCACAUGAUACCAAUUUCCUGAAGUUGUCUGGCAAACUUAAGUGAGAUGUAUGUGCUUGUAUCAUAAAUUAUCAUUUGCACCGCAGCAGCCCCUUGGGCCAUAUCUGAGAGAGGAAACCCAGGGUAUGUCUGGAGUGUGCACCCAGAGGUGGGAGUGCUUGCUCCAGCCAUCUCAGAGCCUCCUGCAGUGACUUAAUACUUCCCAGCGUCACCUAGUAUGUACAUGGAGAGAAUAAAUAUUUACAAAGCAUUCUUGAAAUCACUGGGACAAAUUCAUCAUGACAAUAUGAAGUUUGCAUUUUUUGCAGCAGUGAAUGACACUGCAGCAAUCCUAGCUGACCAUGCACUCACAGACCUUUCGGUGGCUGGAGGACUGUGCUGUUGAGGACGAGGCCGGCUGCUCCUGCUCAUAUAUCGUCUGUUUUUCAGUCAGCUUUCCCUUAUGGAUCCCUCACUGCCCGCUCCCUGCCGGGGCUGCUCCGCAUUUCAGCGCUCAGGCUCAAAGACAAGCCCGGCUUAGGCGGCGAGAUUUUUCGUACAGUGGCCUUGAACAUCAGCCUUGCCACAUGAAAAGCAGCUAUCCUCUUCACCUAAAUAAAACGAAACUUAGAAUAUUUUCUAGCCACAAUUUCCUUGUUUUAUUACUAUUACUCCCCUCCCUCCCUUCCUCUUUCCCCCCUCCCUCUCUCUCCCCCCUCCCGCGUUAAGUUUCGGGCGGCUCUGGCAAACGGCUCCAUGUGACGGCAGCGUGGUCGCUUCCUUCCCGGCCAGCCACAGGCAAAUCCCGACGGAGCAUCAAGGGACGGGCAUCACGAGGGGGAAGCGGUGCCCCGGGAAUCUGGCAUCGCCGCCUCGCCUGCUUCCUCACUGCCCGCACCCCAGCAGCCGGGCCACAGCCGAGCCCCUUCCCACGGGCAAGCGCGGCCGGCACGGCACGGGGGGAGCUCGGCGAGCGGCGGCAGCGUGUCCCCGUGUCCCGUCCCGUCCGGUCCCCCUCGGCCGUGUGCGGCGAUGCUCGCCCGGUCCCCGUCCCGACCGUGCCUUCUCCCUGAGCAGCACCGAGGGCGAAGAAAAGGCUGACCUUACCUGUCUCCUGCGGCGGCCCGGAGGAGCAGAGGGCGAGCAGGCUCUGCCGCCUCGCCCGUCCCCGGCUCGGGACGCCCUGCCCCGGGAGCCGGGGCGGCGGCGCGGCCGAAGCCGUCGGGAGCCCGCUCCGCGCCGCCUGCCCCGCCAGGAGCCUUCCAGCCCAGAUAUACCCGUAUUGUUUUCCUCGCACCAUUUUUUUUUUUUUUUUUUUUUUUUGAUUUGCAAGAAGACGCCAAAAUCCCCGUAAAUGGCUCAUUUCUGGGGCGGGGGGCGCUCCCGGCGGCCCGCGGGGG
rnacentral:lncRNA from 1 species